rnacentral:rRNA from 1 species
CCUGGUUGAUUCUGCCAGUAGUCAUAUGCUUGUCUCAAAGAUUAAGCCAUGCAUGUCUAAGUAUAAGCAAUUAUACAGCGAAACUGCGAAUGGCUCAUUAUAUAAGUUAUCGUUUAUUUGAUAGUACCUUACUACUUGGAUAACCGUGGUAAUUCUAGAGCUAAUACAUGCUAAAAAUCCCGACUCCGGAAGGGAUGUAUUUAUUAGAUUAAAAACCAAUGCCCCCUGGGCUCUCUGGUGAUUCAUAAUAACUUCUCGAAUCGCAUGGCCUUGUGCCGGCGAUGGUUCAUUCAAAUUUCUUCCCUAUCAACUUUCGAUGUUUGGGUAGUGGCCAAACAUGGUUGCAACGGGUAACGGAGGGUUAGGGCUCGACCCCGGAGAAGGAGCCUGAGAAACGGCUACUACAUCCAAGGAAGGCAGCAGGCGCGCAAAUUACCCAAUCCCGAUUCGGGGAGGUAGUGACAAUAAAUACCGAUACAGGGCUCUUUUGGGUCUUGUAAUUGGAAUGAGUACAAUUUAAAUCCCUUAACGAGGAACAAUUGGAGGGCAAGUCUGGUGCCAGCAGCCGCGGUAAUUCCAGCUCCAAUAGCGUAUAUUAAAGUUGUUGUGGUUAAAAAGCUCGUAGUUGAACCUUGGGCCUGGCUGGCCGGUCCGCCUCACCGCGUGUACUGGUCCGGCCGGGCCUUUCCCUCUGUGGAACCCCAUGCCCUUCACUGGGCGUGGCGGGGAAACAGGACUUUUACUUUGAAAAAAUUAGAGUGCUCCAGGCAGGCCUAUGCUCGAAUACAUUAGCAUGGAAUAAUGAAAUAGGACGCGCGGUUCUAUUUUGUUGGUUUCUAGGACCGCCGUAAUGAUUAAUAGGGACAGUCGGGGGCAUCAGUAUUCAAUUGUCAGAGGUGAAAUUCUUGGAUUUAUUGAAGACUAACUACUGCGAAAGCAUUUGCCAAGGAUGUUUUCAUUAAUCAGGAACGAAAGUUAGGGGAUCGAAGACGAUCAGAUACCGUCGUAGUCUUAACCAUAAACUAUGCCGACUAGGGAUCGGACGAUGUUAUUUUUUGACUCGUUCGGCACCUUACGAGAAAUCAAAGUGCUUGGGCUCCAGGGGGAGUAUGGUCGCAAGGCUGAAACUUAAAGAAAUUGACGGAAGGGCACCACCAGGGGUGGAGCCUGCGGCUUAAUUUGACUCAACACGGGGAAACUCACCAGGUCCAGACACAAUGAGGAUUGACAGAUUGAGAGCUCUUUCUUGAUUUUGUGGGUGGUGGUGCAUGGCCGUUCUUAGUUGGUGGAGUGAUUUGUCUGCUUAAUUGCGAUAACGAACGAGACCUUAACCUGCUAAAUAGCCCGUAUUGCUUUGGCAGUACGCUGGCUUCUUAGAGGGACUAUCGGCUCAAGCCGAUGGAAGUUUGAGGCAAUAACAGGUU